rnacentral:RNase_P_RNA from 1 species
UAGGUACAACAGGUAGUUGCUGGUGACAAUUGUCACGAGAGGAAAGUCCGUGCUACGCGUGAGAUAGGACUCCACCUAACGGGUGGCUAGAGUAAUCUAAGGGCAAGUGCAACAGAGAGCAGACGACCCCCCAUUCUCCAUUAAAAGAGUCCUCGCUCUUUUUCUCCCCUAUUUCUGAUAAUGGGGUGGUCAAAGGUGAAACGGUGGUGUAAGAGACCACCAGUACCCAUGGUAACAUGGGUAGCUAGGUAAACCCUGUCCGUAGCAAGAGGCAUAUGGUAACAAAUCUCACACAGCCAUUAAGUUGGUAUUAUGUCUCGCUUGAGUAUAUUGGUGACAAUAUAUCUAGAUAAAUAACUACCCAAUGACAGAACACGGCUUAUCGUUGUGCCUAUUUA